UACUAACCUGUCACACAUUGAAGGCCUAUAGGUUCACCACUGUACUAACCUGUCACACAUUGAAGACCUAUAGGUUCACCACUGUACUAACCUGUCACACAUUGAAGGCCUAUAGGUUCACCACUGUACUAACCUGUCACACAUUGAAGGCCUAUAGGUUCACCACUGUACUAACCUGUCACACAUUGAAGACCUAUAGGUUCACCACUGUACUAACCUGUCACACAUUGAAGACCUAUAGGUUCACCACUGUACUAACCUGUCACACACUGAAGACCUAUAGGUUCACCACUGUACUAACCUGUCACACACUGAAGACCUAUAGGUUCACCACUGUACUAACCUGUCACACACUGAAGACCUAUAGGUUCACCACUGUACUAACCUGUCACACAUUGAAGGCCUAUAGGUUCACCACUGUACUAACCUGUCACACAUUGAAGACCUAUAGGUUCACCACUGUACUAACCUGUCACACACUGAAGACCUAUAGGUUCACCACUGUACUAACCUGUCACACACUGAAGACCUAUAGGUUCACCACUGUACUAACCUGUCACACACUGAAGACCUAUAGGUUCACCACUGUACUAACCUGUCACACAUUGAAGGCCUAUAGGUUCACCACUGUACUAACCUGUCACACUGAAGACCUAUAGGUUCACCACUGUACUAACCUGUCACACAUUGAAGGCCUAUAGGUUCACCACUGUACUAACCUGUCACACAUUGAAGGCCUAUAGGUUCACCACUGUACUAACCUGUCACACUGAAGACCUAUAGGUUCACCACUGUACUAACCUGUCACACAUUGAAGGCCUAUAGGUUCACCACUGUACUAACCUGUCACACAUUGAAGGCCUAUAGGUUCACCACUGUACUAACCUGUCACACAUUGAAGGCCUAUAGGUUCACCACUGUACUAACCUGUCACACAUUGAAGGCCUAUAGGUUCACCACUGUACUAACCUGUCACACAUUGAAGACCUAUAGGUUCACCACUGUACUAACCUGUCACACAUUGAAGGCCUAUAGGUUCACCACUGUACUAACCUGUCACACUGAAGACCUAUAGGUUCACCACUGUACUAACCUGUCACACACUGAAGACCUAUAGGUUCACCACUGUACUAACCUGUUACACUGAAGACCUAUAGGUUCACCACUGUGCUAACCUGUCACACUGAAGACCUAUAGGUUCACCACUGUGCUAACCUGUCACACUGAAGACCUAUAGGUUCACCACUGUACUAACCUGUCACACAUUGAAGGCC